CUCUUACUCCCUCCGUCCAAUAAAAGAUGUUUUAAGUUUGUAAAAAUUUGAAUGUAUGUAGACAUGUCUGAUGCAUUCAAAUUUAGUCAAAGUUGACACAUUUUUUAUUAGACGGAGAAAGUAUAGA
rnacentral:pre_miRNA from 1 species